CCAGGCCUUGGCUUUCCUCUUGGCCAAAGCCAGCCAGGCCGGUUCUGUUGACAUGGGGGCAGCGUCGGGGGUAGAGAACCUCUUUGUGACUUCUUUCACCAGUGGCGCUGGCGGCGCCGAGUCCGAGAUCUCCACUAGAAAUAGGAGAUUCAGAAAGGAAACCCAGUGAGAUGGGUACAUCUGGCCAGAAGAAUUGGGGAACAAAAACUACGUGAUCAUAGCUAGUAUACACAGAAUCACAAUGAUCCCGUACAGUCAGUUCUCAUUUUGGAGUAUCUCUAGAAACCUAAUUUUUUCUGUGCACAGAAGCUAUGCUUGCAUGAUAGUAAGAAAUAAAAGGCAAAUUCUAUGAUUCUAGUCAUACAACAUACAACCAGUCAAUGUCAUGAAGAAAAAGAUAAAACCAGUAGUUUGAACUUAACCAGCUGUGAGGUCAAAAGCUGCAUCUUCUACCAGUGAAGUCCUGGCCCCUCACCCUAAGGUUCUCCAGCCCUGAUGGUUCAGUCUCGUCUAGCAAUUCCUCUGCAUCCUAGAAGCCUCUAAGAACCAGUCAAUAUAGCUUUAACAGCAAGACCUCUUCACAUACCCAGACCUCAGUGAGCAGCUAUUCAAGGCAUAGAAAACCUUGGAUCUAGAGGCUGAGCGUCUGAGGCAGGGCUGCCUAGUGGGAAAAGAUGCCCUAAUAACCCAAGAGGAAGCUCUUUCAGGCUCCAUCCUGCCAGUGAUUUCUAACAAGGACAUAGUUAUAAAGAUAACUGAAUCACUUUAUCUUUGAA